rnacentral:rRNA from 1 species
GAGGAAUAUUGCGCAAUGGAGGCAACUCUGACGCAGCCAUGCCGCGUGCAGGAAGAAGGCGCUACGCGUUGUAAACUGCUUUUAUCCGGGAAGAAACCCUCCGACGUGUCGGAGGUUGACGGUACCGGAGGAAUAAGCACCGGCUAACUUCGUGCCAGCAGCCGCGGUAAUACGAAGGGUGCAAGCGUUAUCCGGAUUCAUUGGGUUUAAAGGGUGCGUAGGCGGAGUGUUAAGUCAGUGGUGAAAUCCUGCAGCUCAACUGUAGACUUGCCAUUGAUACUGACGCUCUUGAGUGCGCUUGAAGUGGGCGGAAUGUGCCGUGUAGCGGUGAAAUGCUUAGAUAUGGCACAGAACACCAAUUGCGAAGGCAGCUCACUAAGGCGAUACUGACGCUGAGGCACGAAAGCGUGGGGAUCGAAC